CAGCAGGCGGCACGGGGCUGAAUCAGCGGGCGUGCUUAUAGAGCCGCGCCGCACCGCACCGCAUCGCAUUGUGUUGCACCGCACCGCACCGCCAUGGAGCUGCCGUGGCUGGGCCGGCACUGCUCGGAGCGGACAUGCAGGCAGCUCGAUUUCCUUCCUCUGAAAUGUGACGCGUGUGGAGAAGUCUUCUGUAAGGACCACAUCCGCUAUGAUGGGCACAGCUGCAGCUCUGCCUACAAGAAAAAUGUGCAGGUUCCAGUGUGUCCGCUCUGUAAUGCACCUGUCCCUGUCCAGAAGGGUGAAGUACCAGAUAUUGUGGUUGGAGCCCACAUGGAUAAGGACUGCAAAUACAAUCCAGCACAGCAAAAGAUCUUCACAAACAAGUGUUUAAAGCCAGGCUGCAAAAGGAAAGAGAUGAUGAAAGUAGUUUGUGAGCAGUGUGGUGGCAACUUCUGCAUAAAGCAUCGGCAUCCUCUGGAUCAUGACUGUAAAGCAAGCAGCCGCCCCAUCUCCAAGGCUGGGCAGACAAGACAUCCUUGUUCUGUGCAGUAGGAGUGUAAAACUUGCGUGUCAGAUGCAGACAAUUAAACUGGAUGGAAGAGUGAGACUGAAGGUGCAGAUGAUAGAGGCUCUUCACAUCUGGAUCAAACCUUUGUCUACUUUUAAGUUGAUCUCAUCUGAAGCUCUUUUCUAUGCAAGUAAUUUAUUUUUUUGUACAAUCUCAACCUUUCAAUAAACUGUCACCCUUUCUAAGACUUUA